UAAAUUUCAUAACUAUAUAUUCAGAGCAAACGAAGUGGUUGCUGCUAGCUCUAGCCGCAUACACAGAAUAAAGAGGAGUAGGAGAACAAAAGCAAUUGGUGCGAAAACCACAAGCAUUUUCUGACAAAAUAGUGUGGAAAUAGAAUUUCCCAUAAUAAACAGAGACUAGAUCACAAGGCCAAGAGACAUGCCCCCUCAGUCUUCAGGUUGUUUACUUGAAAGUUUUGAUGGCAUGAGUGGAGUCGGAAAAAAGAAAAUAAGGUGCAGGAAGCAUGCCACCUCCAAAGACAUAGCUGGGAGGCUAGAGGCG